rnacentral:rRNA from 1 species
AUUGAACGCUGGCGGCAUGCCUUACACAUGCAAGUCGAACGGCAGCACGGGGGCAACCCUGGUGGCGAGUGGCGAACGGGUGAGUAACAUAUCGGAACAUACCCUAGAGUGGGGGAUAACGUAGCGAAAGUUACGUUAAUACCGCAUACGAUCUAAGGAUGAAAGUGGGGGAUCUUCGGACCUCAUGCUCAUGGAGUGGCCGAUAUCUGAUUAGCUAGUUGGUGAGGUAAAGGCUCACCAAGGCGACGAUCAGUAGCUGGUUUGAGAGAACGACCAGCCACACUGGAACUGAGACACGGUCCAGACUCCUACGGGAGGCAGCAGUGGGGAAUUUUGGACAAUGGGGGGCAACCCUGAUCCAGCAAUGCCGCGUGAGUGAAGAAGGCCUUCGGUUGUAAGACUCUUUUGUUCAGGGAAGAAACGGUAGAGUCUAAUACAGCUUGCUAAUAGACGGUACCUAGAAGGAAUAAGACACCGGCGUAACU